UUAAAGUAGUAAGGGCGCAGGGUGGAUGCCUUGGCACUAAGAGCCGAUGAAAGACGUGAUAAGCUGCGAAAAGCUUCGGGGAGGAGCACAUAUCCAAUGAUCCGGAGAUAUCUGAAUGGGGAAACCCGGCAGAGGAAACCUCUGUCAGCGUGCAGUGAAUACAUAGCUGUACGUGGGGAACCCGGGGAACUGAAACAUCUAAGUACCCGGAGGAAGAGAAAGAAAAUUUAUCGAUUUCCAAAGUAGCGGCGAGCGAAAUGGAAAGAGCCCAAACCGUGAUGCGUGCAUCGCGGGGUUCGGACUGCGUUGUGGCAGACGUAAGAUAGGAGAACGGACUGGGAAGUCCGGCCGGAGAGAGUGAAAGCCUCGUAUCCGAAAUCCCAAGUCGCCUAGCAGGAUCCAGAGUAGGACGAGACACGAGAAACCUUGUCUGAACGAGCGGGGACCACCCCGUAAGGCUAAAUACUUCUUAGUGACCGAUAGCGCAUAGUACUGUGAAGGAAAGGUGAAAAGUACCCCGGGAGGGGAGUGAAAGAGAACCUGAAACCCUGUGUCUACAAGCUGUGGGACCUCUUUAUAUGAGGGACUGCGUACUUUUUGUAGAACGGUCCGGCGAGUUGUGCGUACUGGCGAGGUUAAGGACUUAAGGUCUGGAGCCGAAGUGAAAGCAAGCGUUAAUAGCGCGUCAAGUCAGUGAGUGCAGACCCGAAACCGGGUGACCUAUCCAUGUCCAGGUUGAAGCUUCCGUAAGAGGAAGUGGAGGACCGAACCCACAUCCGUUGAAAAGGGUGGGGAUGAGGUGUGGAUAGCGGAGAAAUUCCAAUCGAACCCGGAGAUAGCUGGUUCUCCUCGAAAUAGCUUUAGGGCUAGCCUCAUGAGAGUCUUAUGGAGGUAGAGCACUGAAUUGCCUAGGGGGCGUCAAAGCUUACCAAAGCAUAUCAAACUCCGAAUGCCAUCAAGAUGAUUCAUGGGAGUCAGACCAUACGAGAUAAGUUGGAUGGUCAAAAGGGAAAGAGCCCAGACCUACAGCUAAGGUCCCAAAGUACGUGUUAAGUGGAAAAGGAUGUGGGGAUUCUAAGACAACUAGGACGUUGGCUUAGAAGCAGCCAUUCAUUGAAAGAGUGCGUAAUAGCUCACUAGUCGAGAGUCCCUGCGCCGAAAAUGUCCGGGGCUGAAACACGACACCGAAGCUUAGGAAUGUGUAAACAUUGGUAGAGGAGCAUUGCUAGCGGGAUGAAGCCAUACCGUAAGGAGUGGUGGACUGCUAGGAAGAGAGAAUGCCGGAAUGAGUAGCGAGAUGAAGGUGAGAAUCCUUCAGGCCGAAUAUCUAAGGUUUCCAGAGUAAAGCUGAUCUGCUCUGGGUAAGUCGGGACCUAAGGCGAGGUCGAAAGACGUAGUCGAUGGAUAACAGGUUGAAAUUCCUGUACCGCAUAUAAACAGAACUGUGGGGACACAGACAGGGAAUGGAAUCCGGGAAUGGAUAUCCCGGUGCAAGCGAGGUAGGAGUGCUGUUGGCAAAUCCGCAGCACGAUCUGAAGACGUGACGCGUACCGAACAUAAGUAGGGAAGUCCAGGCCCCUGGCUGUCAAGAAAAGCCGCUAUCGUUUUAUAUGUGCCCGUACCGCAAACCGACACAGGUGGAUGAGGAGAGAAUCCUAAGGCCGACGGGAGAAGUAUUGUUAAGGAACUCGGCAAAAUGACUCCGUAACUUCGGGAGAAGGAGUGCCAUGAGAGUGGCCGCAGAGAAAUGGCCCAAGCAACUGUUUAGCAAAAACACAGGUCUAUGCAAAACCGCAAGGUGAAGUAUAUGGGCUGACGCCUGCCCGGUGCUGGAAGGUUAAGGGGAGAGGUUAGCGCAAGCGAAGCUUUGAACUUAAGCCCCAGUAAACGGCGGCCGUAACUAUAACGGUCCUAAGGUAGCGAAAUUCCUUGUCGGGUAAGUUC
rnacentral:rRNA from 1 species